rnacentral:rRNA from 1 species
UGUUUGAUCCUGGCUCAGAACGAACGCUGGCGGCGUGCCUAACACAUGCAAGUCGAACGAGAAAGUCGGCUUCGGCCGAUGAGUACAGUGGCGCACGGGUGAGUAACGCGUGGGUAAUCUGCCCCCCGGUCAGGAAUAACCCGCCGAAAGGCGGGCUAAUACCCGAUAACACUGACGCUCUGCGGAGUGUCUUUCAAAGAAGGCCUCUGUUUACAAGCUUUCGCCGGAGGAUGAGCCCGCGUACCAUUAGCUAGUUGGCAGGGUAAUGGCCUACCAAGGCAACGAUGGUUAGCUGGUCUGAGAGGAUGGCCAGCCACACUGGAACUGAGACACGGUCCAGACUCCUACGGGAGGCAGCAGUGAGGAAUCUUGCGCAAUGGGGGAAACCCUGACGCAGCAACGCCGCGUGAGUGAGGAAGGCCUUCGGGUCGUAAAGCUCUGUCAGAUGGGAAGAAAUGGGUGGGGGUGAAUAUCGUCCACCCUUGACGGUACCAUCAGAGGAAGCACCGGCUAACUCCGU